UGUCACUGCCAGCCCACCCUAGGCACAACGAUCAGGAAGAGAGCUUUCAGCUACUGCCCAGCACCAUGACUAUAUCCAUUCCUCCAUGAUACUAAUGGACCAGCCCUCUAAUAUCAUUAAAGAAAACCUGCCAGAUGGUGGUGGUGCACACCUUUAAUCCAAACACUCAGGAGGCAGAGGCAGGCGGGUCUCUGAGUUUGAGGCCAGCUUGGUCUACAGAGAGAAAUCCUGUCUCAAACCACUCCCCCCAAAAACCACCCAAAGCCAACCAACCAACAAAACAAAACAAAACAAGACAAGACACCAACAAGACAACAAGACAAAAGCAUCGCAUCCCUCUGAGGGCCUCUGAGUGACUUCCUCAAGCUUACCUCACUUUCAAGCGAGCCAACACCACUCUGUACAGAUGAGAGUAGAUGUGUUCAGGGUGGUAUGACCGUACAGGAAACCUGUUCUGGACAACAGCAAAGGUGGUUUAAACAACUGAUAGAUAAAUAAUGUUGCCAAUACAUCCUAAAGCACAACUAGAGUGAGUGCCUUAUAAGUUCCUUUUUUUCCAAUGGAUGAGCUUUACUACUCAGGAUUUCAUUGAAGUGACUAUAUUGUCUUUAAAAGAUGAUAAAGACAUACAUCAAAAUAAUAAUUCAAAAACCCAAUAGCAAGAUAAGAGGCAUGAUUUCUUAAAAUACAGUUCAUGUAAGUUUAGAAACUAAAAAGGGGAGACACUGUAUUUGCUAGAUGGAAAUUCAAAAAAAGGAAGAAGAAAGAAAAAAAAAAGAACUAGAUGUAUAUAAAAUUUAAAAGCAAAGCUGCUACGCAGCUGAAGAAGGGCACAUCCAUCGUAACUCUGAAAACCUGUGUUGACCAGAUGAGAAAAAGGAAGAAUGAUACGCAACUGGGGAAAAUGUCCUUGAAGUUAUGGAAAUAUUAAUUUAAAUAGCUUCAUUAUCUGCCAUAUUUCUCAUUUUAUUGUGACAAUUAAGGAUUAUUAUCCAGAAGUAGACCUGGAAUUGACUGUCUUUUGAAACAGGAAGCAUAUGAAAUUAAUUCCAGGUAUGGGCAGGCCUGG